rnacentral:RNase_P_RNA from 1 species
UGAGCUGGCCGGGUGGUCGCGGCUAGGCGACGGCGGCAACGCUGGCGACUUGGCCGAGGAAAGUCGGGACUCCGCAGGGCAGGGUGCUGGCUAACAGCCAGUCGAGGCGACUCGCAGGAAAGUGCCACAGAAAACAGACCGCCGAUGGGCGGUUGGACCGGUUCGCCGGGACAUCCGCCACAGGUAAGGGUGAAACGGUGCGGUAAGAGCGCACCAGCGCUCGGGGUGACCCGGGCGGCUCGGCAAACCCCACUCGGAGCAAGGUCAAAACGUGGGAGGGGCGGCCCGCCCAAAUCUCCCCAGGUAGACCGCUCAGAUGGAUGACCACCCCUCCGCCCGGCAACGGGUCGAGGACAGAAUCCCGCUUACAGGCCGGCUCACCGU